GACGGUGGGCCCGUCGGAGUCGCCAUACAGGUGGAGAUUUCAAACUACCUUAAGGUGCUGUAGUCAAAAGCUAUGGUAUUGAGCGUUAAGGAAAAGGCAGUCAAGAACUGUCAAGU
rfam:Bacillus galactosidilyticus strain PL133 scaffold000077, whole genome shotgun sequence.